GAUCCCCCGGAAGAAAGCUCCAUUUCUGCUCAAAACCCAUCCCUGACCUUUUUGUUGAAGAAGAACAAAAUAAUGUAGUAACAAAAACACAAGUGGCUGCCAAGGGAAAGGAGAGAGGAAAAAAAAAAGAGUUCCUGUAAGGGACUGAAACAAUAAAUCUCUCUGCUGAACUCCCUGAGGGAGUGUGUGUGUUUCCUCCCGUUCUUUAUCAGAGUCCCCAAAAUAAGUAGGGGCGGGCAGGGGCUCUGGGGCUCCCCACACCUUCUCCACUUGCUGCAGGGCCUGGGCUGAAGGGAACCAGCCGUGCCUCGUCUGCAGAGGAGCCUCGAGACCCCCAGCACCAUGACUUGGCUUCCAGCAGCCACCGUUCUCCUGCUCCUGCUCUCUGGCCUCUGCCAUGGGGAUGCCACAGGUGCUGCAAAUACAUUUACUAGUGGACCAGCACCAGCAACAGCUUCCUCAACAAAAUUAUCUGUAUCAACACCAAUCUCCAUCAGUGGGGUUACUGAACCAACAUCAGAAACAUCUCCUAAAGGGAUGACCAACACCAGCACAACUGGGGCCUCUCCAGUUUCUUCAUCAACAGCAAGGGGAAGUGCAGGUGAGUAGAUUCGUGUUGCCGCCAUUGAAACUAUAUCUAGUAUAUAUCUAAUAUAUAGUUCACAUG
rnacentral:lncRNA from 1 species